AUCCAGCUGACGAGUCUUAAAUAGGACGAAACGUGCGUCCUGGAU
rnacentral:hammerhead_ribozyme from 1 species